GCCCCUCUUUUCCUUGGUCUCCUGACUCACUGCACAGGUGCUGCCCCCAGGGUCUCACCCACCUGCCCAGCUCCAGGCUGUGCUCCUGUGCUCACGGGUGCCCUGAGAGCUCUUUUAUUCCUGGGGCUCACUCCAGCCUUGGCAAGUAGCCAGAUAUCCUGGGGUUGAGACCCUCAGUUUCAAAUUUUUUAUCUCCCCUUUCCUUCUUGCAGGCUCUGUCACCUCCUAUGAGCUGACACGGCCACCCUCAGUGUCAGUAGCUCCAGGACAGAUGACCAGGAUCACCUGUGGGGAAAACAGUAUUGGAAGUAAAAGUGCUUAAUGGUACCAGCAGAAGCCAGGACAGGCCCCUGUGUGGGUCAUCG
rnacentral:lncRNA from 1 species